AUUGAACGCUGGCGGCAUGCCUUACACAUGCAAGUCGAACGGCAGCACGGGAGCAAUCCUGGUGGCGAGUGGCGAACGGGUGAGUAACAUAUCGGAACGUACCCAGUCGUGGGGGAUAACGUAGCGAAAGUUGCGCUAAUACCGCAUACGAUCUUUGGAUGAAAGCGGGGGAUCGCAAGACCUCGCGCGAUUGGAGCGGCCGAUAUCAGAUUAGGUAGUUGGUGAGGUAAGGGCUCACCAAGCCGACGAUCUGUAGCUGGUCUGAGAGGACGACCAGCCACACUGGGACUGAGACACGGCCCAGACUCCUACGGGAGGCAGCAGUGGGGAAUUUUGGACAAUGGGCGCAAGCCUGAUCCAGCAAUGCCGCGUGCAGGACGAAGGCCUUCGGGUUGUAAACUGCUUUUGUACGGAACGAAACGGCCUUUUCUAAUACAAGAGGCUAAUGACGGUACCGUAAGAAUAAGCACCGGCUAACUACGCGCCAGCCGCCGCGGUAAUAC
rnacentral:rRNA from 1 species